CCUACAGGUGCCCGUGAGGGCCCAACAGAGAAUUCCGGUGCAAGUCCGGAGCGAUCCCGUCACUGUAUGGUGGAGCUUUUUCAUGAAUCCAUUGGCCUUAGGCUGAGAAGGGUGAAGAAGCGAUGAAUCCGAGCCAGGAGAACUGCCUGCAGAGA
rnacentral:ncRNA from 1 species